GCUUGUCUCAAAGAUUAAGCCAUGCAUGUCUAAGUACAAGCCGCUAGUUCGGCGAAACCGCGAAUGGCUCAAUAAAUCAGUUAUGGUUCCUUAGAUCCACUCCAUCCUACUUGGAUAACUGUGGUAAUUCUAGAGCUAAUACAUGCGUAAAGUCCCGACUCUUUCUGGGGAGGGAUGUAUUUAUUAGAUAAAAAACCAAUGCGGGUUCUGCCCGGUUUUGUGUUGAAUCAUAGUAACUUUUCGAAUCGCAUGGCUUCACGCCGGCGAUAGUUCAUUCAAAUUUCUGCCCUAUCAGCUUUCGACGGUAGUGUAGUGGACUACCGUGGCGUUAACGGGUAACGGAGGAUUAGGGUUCGAUUCCGGAGAGGGAGCCUGAGAAACGGCUACCACAUCUAAGGAAGGCAGCAGG
rnacentral:rRNA from 1 species